GUAGCCUUCUGUGCACUGCUUUAUUUAGUUCCCUAGUUCUACCAGGUUUUGUUCUAACCUGGCUCUCUUUUCUUCAAGGUUCUCUUCUGAAUUCCCCUUGGUUCCUUCACCUCCUUGAAGAAACAAAGCACUCUGCUCAAGCUCAUCAGCUUAAUAACCUCUCAGAUCACAGCUCCCAUUAUCCCAGCAACCACCAGGCUUCUCUCUCUCUCGCUCCUGUCUACAACCUGCCUGCAGUGCCCCAAGAUGUGGUCAGCAAAUGCACCUGCCUUUUCUGAUUACCAGUGAAUGCAGCAUCAAAGGAUGCUGUGAAGCUACAUGGGACGUUCAAGCAAGAUCCGCUCAGUGCUGCAGUUGGCUUUGGUGUAGUAAUGAUGACGUGUGGUGUAUUCCCACCACAACUAUUAGCAUAAAUACCUGUUAAAACAUACGAAAGAUUAAACAAAUGUGGUGCAAAGUCUUCCUACAGACAAAGUUCAAGAUCUACUAACUCCAGUUCAGCUGCAGCAUGUUACAUGUGGAGCCUUUAAACAAUAUCAGGAUCUAAUAUUUCAGACAACAAAUGAUUCAUGUGAUGUUUCUAAAUGAACGAAGGUGAACAAACAGCUCACCUGGAAGAAAGAAGACACUCAGUAACAUGUUGACUGUCAACACGUUCUCAGAUAGAGCUGCCAUCAAACCUCCCUUCAUCUCUCAGGCUGGAAACAAGAUGGAAACAGCUGCUGAAUUUCAGUGUUUUUCACAAAUUGUGCCAAAAAAUAUUGGAAUUUGUUAAAGCUGCUAAGGUUAGGUCUUAAUUAAUUCUGGAGAAUUUCAAAAACGAUUUUUAACUGAUUAAAAUGUUAUUUCCAGUGGCGUCAACAGGCCUGGGCAUUUCCGGCUCUAGUCCUGAAUGACUCUCAUCAACUCCCGGAUCUUUUUUUCACCAGAGAAAGAAUAAAUGGCCAUUAACUAUUGUAUUAAAGAAGAAGGACGUUUCUUAACCUAAACUUCCCGGCUUCGAUGAAUACAACACAGGCACGACACUAUGACCAAUCCGAGUGCAGUUGUAUGGAAGCAGGGACUCAUCCGUGUUUUAUUGGCUGACAGUUCAGAUACUUUCAGCUCAGAUACUUUCGAGCGGUCCCAGAAGAAAAUGGUCAUCAAGUGAUUUUUUUUGGAAGAACGGGAGAGAAUUAUUCAGUCGUAGUGGCUGACAGUGGGUGGCAAAACUCUGAGCUCCCACGUGAAACAGAUAAAUAAAAAAGUGAUUUAAAUUCUGUA